UUUUAUUUAUUUUUUGCCCCAAAUCAUCCCAAAGAAAGUCACAAGAAAUCAACACGAAGAAAACAAAGAGAAGCGGAGGAUGAAGAUCUGGUGAUCUGAUUGGAAAUGAUGAUGAUGACUCUGGCCCGAGCAGCGGUGACCGGCGUGAAGGAGGACGGAUAGAGAAGGCAUUGAUGGUGGUGGGUGGAGAAACCGUGGGAAAACAUAGAUGAACUAGAGACGGAUGAGUAUAAUGGAAUAGAGUUUAAUGUGAUGAAGGCGAGAAUUUGAUAUUAGGUUUAAUGGAUUACAAAGGAUAAAAUAGUCAAUUUGCAAUUAAUUCCAAGUCGCUGAGGACGAAACGCUACACUCACAAGCGUUUCAGAUUUUAGCUGAUUGGCUCAAUCAGCCAAUGGAAAUCAGCCAUUUACCAAACACUCCAAAACAGCUUAUUGAUGAGUCAAAUAGCUAAAUUUGGUUAAAUUAGCUGGUAAACAAACACCCCCUAUAUACAUUGUAGUUUCCUUUCAACACAACUAUAUUUUCAUUUUGAUAUAACUACAGUUUUAUUCAA